AUUCUUUUUUAUUUUGGGUAAAAAGCCAUUUCCACCCCAAAAUUUGAAAGAAAAAAUUUGAUCAACUCUAGGAAGGGACACAAGUUCUGCAUUACAUUGUUUAAAGUAAUGCAAUGAGAAUUUAGGGCAAAAUUGAUCCUCAAAGGGUGAAUUUUACCAUUCAUAACUAAGAUCUUGUCUUCAUUGUGACACUUCAGGUAGAAUGUGAAAUAGUUUUCUUAGGUAAUA
rnacentral:miRNA from 1 species